rnacentral:sRNA from 1 species
CAGAAAACGUACUCUCGAGGGACAUUCUAUAAGCGGCCAGGUCACCAAGACAUUCUAACCACAUAUUUUUAAAUCUGGGGGCACUUUCUACCAGCACCUGAAUCAGGUCGUACACAUGUUGGAGGAACUGAAUCAUGUAAUUCCGACUCUCUGGGAGUCGAGAUUUCAUAACUUCCAGAAAUGCAUAGAUGCCAUGGUGCAACAUUCGAGGAGGCAUUUUGUGUGCAACAGGAAGUUUGAAGAGAUCUCCCCAGGUUGUUGGAUAUUGUGUGCACACAUAUAGGUCAUGAUGGUGAUGAAUCAGGCGCUGAUGGCACAUGAUCAGAUUGCUCCACUGCUGUGCAGUCAACUUUUCGAGAGCUUGGAUUUUUGCAGCUUCUACGGCGCAAGUCAGUUCUAUACCCGAAAUAGCCUCAUGUAGUUUGGCGGAUUCGGACAACAAUUUGUUGGGCUGCGGCGUCUCAUUAAUUCGACGUUCGCGAAUCAUGGUUGUAAAUUGUGGUGGCUCGGGGUCGGCAUUGAUCCCACGGGAGGCAGACUUGACAAGCAAACUUUCCUUCAUCUCAUUUGAGAUACUUCCACCUGGCUGCCAUCCAGCGGGAAAUAGUUUUUGUGUUACUUUUUUAUCCUCCUGUGGGGUUUUCUGGUCUAUACUUUCCUUAUCUACAAUUUUGUAAUAAUCACUAGGAAAUGUCACUGGAGCGUCCGGAUCGAAAAUAGUAAAAUCCAGAACACAUUGAUCAUUGUUUCGAGUUUGAGGUCGACAACCGGCGGCGUCGGGAUGGUUUGGAUCAGCCGUGUUCCCACGUGAAUAGCUCGCCGGAAUUACAGCUCCUCCGGAUCGUUGGGGCACAUCGCAUUCUGCAGCGGCGGCAGACCGUUUCCUGGACUUUGUCUCAGUGGCAGCGGUGUCUGGUGGGUUGGAUCGGCCUGGGGCUCCGUGGAUGUCGUCGAGGUUUCGGCGCUCCGCUGGCGGUUGGGUGGGGUGGAAUCUGCUAUAUAUUUUGACACCGGCGCGCCCAAGUCAGACCCUAACAAUGACCAGAAAGAAACCGUGCUUGGUUGGAUCGCUUUCCGGCAUCCACUUACCUUCCCAUUGGCCCUUCCCCGACUCGUGCGGGCGGCUGUGGCUUGGGUGCUCGUGUCCUCAACCUCGUCAUUCUUGUGUUUCCCUGAUUCAAAGAUUGAUUGUCCAUCGCAGGCGCUUACUGAAUGCAAUUUGAUUCAGACUCGGGGGAGUAUUGCUGGAGCUGAAUUCAGUCGAGGCAGAAAUGUGGUAAGGCAUCAGCACGAUGGUGUGGGAUUUAGGGAUACAUCUUCAAGGAGAGGUCUGAGAAGCUGUUCGGGCUAUUUAAAAGCACCUCCAAAAGAUUUUUAUCACGGAAUUUUCCAAUUGCCCAAAGUGCCCUCAACCGGGUGUUACUCUUCUUUAUCUACACCUGUCUGAUAUGGAAGUUUGAUAUCGUGUUUGUGGGGAACACGAUCUCUGGGAUGGAUGUAUCCGCACCCGUAACAAGCACUCCACUAACCCGGGCUAGUGUCCCCCACACCCUGCACCAAAAAGUUGCCUGAAUGAAGGGCGAACCACUUGCGAACGCCGGAGCCAAAGACUUUGCCAUCGCCGUCGCGGAACUUUUUCAUGUCCAAGUUGGUCAACCGAAAUCUCUUCGCGACGAGGAGAAUCCCGACUUUUUCCUCGCGUAUAACCAAUAAUUUGUUAUAGGAGACGUCCAGGUUCGGCACAUUACCGCAUCGCAGCUCCAUCAGAAUCAUAUGGACUUACCCAGAAGUCUCUAUCUGCAAAAAACAACGCACACCUUGGUACAAAGAACCAACCUGGAAAUUUUCAGUAUUGAAGUGCAAUCUCUCGACCUUCAGUCGCGGGUCUUGCCGGUAUUUAAUGCUACCCCCGGCCUUUCGAAAUGGCGAGUUCCCUCAUCGUUGGAAUGGACCCAUUUUCCUGGUGUCUUGCUGGUCUACCGACCUUGUUACUAGUCAGUUGCCUGGUGUGAAACACUGAUUCACUGGGUUAAUGCAGCCUCGAGUUCGAGUUCCUUCCCUCCCUUUCCCCUCCAUCCUCUGUUCUUGGCUCUUACCAUUUCUCAGCAGUUACUCUCGCUAUGUGAUCUGAGUCUCUGCACAUCUUCAAUUUCCCUCAGCGUGAGAGAAGCUGUAGAAUUGGACUUUACCACGAGACUAAAGAGGAGAAUUCCCCUGUUGGCAGGGGUUUAUUCUCAUAAUUUCAUGCCUUGGAAUCUAACAGAAGGCACCAACGUUGAAAUCAGCUCAGGUUUCCUCGCCCACUCGCUUUUGGACAUGAACCAGGCUCCUCUUUGCACAUCUUAUGCAUGCCGUUGCAAAAGCCGCUGUCUAUCGUGCUGGAUAAACUAAAGGACCCUUUGUUGAGGACCCAUUUUAACCCAAAUUCCUCCUUUUGGGCUCUAAAUCAAUAACAGCCUUACCGAGUUGAGUUGACAAUGAUCAACUCAAAAGUGCAUGCCUGCCAGGAACGAAAUCCUCAAUGUGCAGUACAUGGGAUCGACAAUCCCGGAAUAAUGUGAUAACGCAAGGAAAAGGAUAUUGGGAAUUCCAUGACAAUUCAUUCUGGGCGUUUAGUUUUCUUGUAACCAGGGCGCCAUGCGCCCUGUUCACAAUUAGUUUCGUGUGUAGCCUCGGGGAGGUAGUUAGUCUUGAUCGUCGUCGCCUGUAGGCGUUGCUUGCCGUGCAGUGUCCCCUUCAUUCUACUGCAAACUACCCCAUAAUGUCAUAACUUCCAGAACAAAACGCAGAGGCCUCCAUACGCGCUAACCUCAGUCGCUGCAUAAACAUGUAUGAAAGAGCAGGGAUAUUUGCCGAAUGACAACACGUCCACCAGACCCGCUCCUCUGCAUUACCCCGCGUUUCCGAAUAUGGCUGGUGUGGUGUGGUUUGUAGUUUGUGUUCUGCCUUGUCCAUUUCCUGGAGCCUCAGGAUCAAUAUAAACCAACAACGCAUGGAUCCAUCAAGUCGGAAAUACGCCGGAGCUGAAACAAAAAGAUCAGUGAGGGGACGAUGCCG